rnacentral:rRNA from 1 species
UGAGGGAAAGUUGCAAAGAACUUUGAAGAGAGAGUUCAAGAGUACGUGAAACUGCUCAGAGGCAAACGGGUGGGCCCUCGAAAUCCUUCACCUGCGGAGGGAUUCAGUCGGGAGCGCUAGCCGGGAGCGGACGUCGGAUCGCCGGACCCCCCUAGAAGGGCCGAGCGCCGAUUCCGCAGUUCUCGUCGCGCCCGACGCACUUCCCCCCGCACCGAGGACGCCGCGACCGAUCGGGAGUCGGCCUUAGGGCGACGCCAGGAGGUGGCCGGUGGACGUUUCUCCGAAUCGUCCGUCGGUUUUUUAACGGCGUCGUAUCGUCGGCGCGACGCCCGAUCGAGGUCCGCAGCCUUCCCCUCGGGGAGGGCGGAAACCGUCUCCUUCGCUCUUGCGAGCGGGGCAUCGGGUCUGUGUGCACCGUCGCUGAUCGAACCACUCCCAGCAGUGGCCGGUCCGGCGGGUAGCCGUCGCAGGAUCCGAGCGACCGCGGAGAGAAGUCGACAGGUCGGCGGCGAGUAGGUCGGUCACCCACCCGACCCGUCUUGAAACACGGACCAAGGAGUCUAACAUGUGCGCGAGUCGCAGGGUCUUGUCCAGGCCCUCGGGCGCAAUGAAAGUGAAGGUCCCUCGCGGACCGAGUUGGGAUUCCGUCGCCGAGGCGGCGGAAGCACCAACGGCCCGUCCCUACCGAUCCGUCGGCGGGGCGGAGUCCGAGCGCACACGUUGGGACCCGAAAGAUGGUGAACUAUGCCUGGGCAGAACGAAGCCCGAGGAAACUCUGGUGGAGGUUCGUAGCGGUUCUGACGUGCAAAUCGAUCGUCAGACCCGGG